rnacentral:rRNA from 1 species
UCCCCUAGUAACUGCGAGUGAAGCGGGAAAAGCUCAAAUUUAAAAUCUGGCAGUCUUUGGCUGUCCGAGUUGUAAUCUAGAGAAGUAUUAUCCGCGCUGGACCGUGUACAAGUCUCCUGGAAUGGAGCGUCAUAGAGGGUGAGAAUCCCGUCUUUGACACGGACUGCCAGGGCUUUGUGAUAUGCUCUCAAAGAGUCGAGUUGUUUGGGAAUGCAGCUCAAAAUGGGUGGUAAAUUCCAUCUAAAGCUAAAUAUUGGCGAGAGACCGAUAGCGAACAAGUACCGUGAGGGAAAGAUGAAAAGAACUUUGGAAAGAGAGUUAAACAGUACGUGAAAUUGCUGAAAGGGAAACGCUUGAAGUCAGUCGCGUUGGCCAGGGAUCAACCUUGCUUUUUUGCUUGGCUUACUUUCUGGUCGAUGGGUCAGCAUCAAUUUUGACCGGUGGAAAAAGUUCAAAGGAAUGUGGCAUCUUCGGAUGUGUUAUAGCCUUUGUUCACAUACAUUGGUUGGGAUUGAGGAACUCAGCACGCCGCAAGGCCGGGUUUUUAACCACGUACGUGCUUAGGAUGCUGGCAUAAUGGCUUUAAUCGACCCGUCUUGAAACACGGACCAAGGAGUCUAACAUGCCUGCGAGUAUUUGGGGUGAAAAAACCCGAGUGCGUAAUGAAAAGUGAAAGUUGAGAUCCCUGUCGUGGGGAGCAUUGACGCCCGGG